rnacentral:lncRNA from 1 species
CAUGCUUGUUCAGCAGUAAUAUUUUGCUGUGAAUGUCCCCCUUACCUGCAUUUAUCAUGUGUUGAUUGCUCAGUUCACUGAAGCGCAGGAUGCCGAGCAGAGCCAUGGGUCAAUAAAGUAAUUUAUAAUGAUCAACCUUCUGGGCAGACCGUGUCAUGAACCAGUCUUUACUGUUUUCUUCUAGCAGAGAAAAUCUGUUCUCCUCUUGAUUAAUAUUUGCUNNNNNNNNNNAAAAAAAAAAAAAAAAAGGCACAGAAAAUUUACUAGCCUUUAUAACAAACUUUUAUACUUAACAGAGAAAUUGGAUGAUGUGUCCAAAACUUGUAUGUUGCUCUUGAAUCCAGUAUAACAUCAACGAGUAUUUAUUUUUAAUCUAUGUGUAUCUGAUAGGUAUAUUCAUCAAUAUGUGACACAUUUAAUGACAACAGAAGUUGAUUUUAGGGUGACUUCAAGUCAGGGAAAAUGACUUCUCUUAGAUGUGGCAAAACCUGACGUGCAAACUGGUUAUUAUGAUUACACAAGCAGUAAAAUCAUCUGCGAUGCAACACAUGGCCUGGUGCCAUGUCACACCUGCAGCAGGCCCACAGGGACAAAGAAGCACACUGCUGCGGAGCAGCCCCGCUGGUUGUGGCUGCCCUUUAUCUUUGCCUUCCAGGCACCUGCUUGGGAAAGGUGGUGAGGCCUCCUGCCCUCCUGGAACCUCCUGGAACCUUCAGGAGUGGGAGCAGGGGCCUGUACCUGUGCCCUGCUGGGGGGCUGCAACAUAAUGGCAGGUGUUACAGCCCUGGAGGGCCGGACCUGCCAUGUCUGCAGGCUGCAGGGCUCGGCGGGGACACGGGAGAAGCACUGGGGACCUGCACUGCAAGGAGCUGGGGAGCUUUAAUACACAGAACAAGGCUAAGAAGGAAAUCUGCAAAUCACUGAAGCAGACCUGUGAUACUGAGUACCUGAAUGUCAGAAAAAUAGUAAUCUUAUAAAAGAAUACAUAAUCUUAUAGAAAGAAGAUAAAACCUCAUGCAUUCACAAUUGGCCAAAUAAAUAUUUAUGUAAGCACGUUUGGAAAUGUUUA